AUUGAACGCUGGCGGAAUGCUUUACACAUGCAAGUCGAGCGGCAGCGCGGGGGCAACCCUGGCGGCGAGCGGCGAACGGGUGAGUAACACAUCGGAACGUACCCAGUUGUGGGGGAUAGCGCGGCGAAAGCCGGAUUAAUACCGCAUACGACCUGAGGGUGAAAGGGGGGGAUCGCAAGACCUCUCGCAGUUGGAGCGGCCGAUGGCGGAUUAGCUAGUUGGUGAGGUAAAGGCUCACCAAGGCGACGAUCCGUAGCUGGUCUGAGAGGACGACCAGCCACACUGGAACUGAGACACGGUCCAGACUCCUACGGGAGGCAGCAGUGGGGAAUUUUGGACAAUGGGGGCAACCCUGAUCCAGCCAUUCCGCGUGAGUGAAGAAGGCCUUCGGGUUGUAAAGCUCUUUCGGCAGGAACGAAACGGUGGAGGCUAAUACCUUUCAUCAAUGACGGUACCUGAAGAAGAAGCACCGGCUAACUACGUGCCAGCCGCCGCAGUAACAC
rnacentral:rRNA from 1 species